rnacentral:rRNA from 1 species
ACGUAGGGUGCAAGCGUUAAUCGGAAUUACUGGGCGUAAAGCGUGCGCAGGCGGUGAUGUAAGACAGGUGUGAAAUCCCCGGGCUUAACCUGGGGACUGCAUUUGUGACUGCAUCGCUGGAGUGUGGCAGAGGAAGGUGGAAUUCCACGUGUAGCGGUGAAAUGCGUAGAGAUGUGGAGGAACACCAAUGGCGAAGGCAGCCUUCUGGGCCAACACUGACGCUCAUGCACGAAAGCGUGGGGAGCAAACAGGA